AUGUUUCUUGAUUAUGAUGGCACACUUUCAUCUAUAGUAGAGAUCCAAAUUGUGCUUUCAUGUCUGAACCUAUGUGAAAAAAGUCGUGACAAGGUUUUUGAUUUAGUUAAACUAACAGAACUGUACUAUGCCGGUAGUCAUGGGAUGUACACUAUUGUCCCUGUUAGUGACACUAUGUCCAUAAGCCAUCCAAAUUGUGUUAAUUCUACUGACCAUGAGGGAAAGAGAUAA